AAGCACUUUCAGUCAGGAGGAACAGGGUGUGAGCUUAAUACCUCACAUCUGUGACGUUACUGACAGAGAGAAGCACCGGCUAACUCCGUGCCACGCAGCCGCGUGUAAUACGGAGGGUGCGAGCGUUAAUCGGAAUUACUGGGCGUAAAGCGUACGCAGGCGGUUUGUUAAGCGAGAUGUGAAAGCCCCGGGCUCAACCUGGGAACUGCAUUUCGAACUGGCAAACUAGAGUGUGAUAGAGGGUGGUAGAAUUUCAGGUGUAGCGGUGAAAUGCGUAGAGAUCUGAAGGAAUACCGAUGGCGAAGGCAGCCACCUGGGUCAACACUGACGCUCAUGUACGAAAGCGUGGGGAGCAAACGGGAUUAGAUACCCCGGUAGUCCACGCCGUAAACGAUGUCUACUAGAAGCUCGGAACCUCGGACCUGUUUUUCAAAGCUAACGCAUUAAGUAGACCGCCUGGGGAGUACGGCGCAAGGUUAAAACUCAAUGAUUGACGGGGGCCCGCACAAGCGGUGGAGCAUGUGGUUUAAUCGAUGCACGCGAGAAACUUUACUACACUUGACAUACAGAGAACUUACCAAGAGAUUGUUGGUGCCUCGGGA
rnacentral:rRNA from 1 species